rnacentral:rRNA from 1 species
AUUGAACGCUGGCGGCAGGCCUAACACAUGCAAGUCGAGCGAGCGGCGGACGGGUGAGUAAUGUCUGGGAAACUGCCUGAUGGAGGGGGAUAACUACUGGAAACGGUAGCUAAUACCGCAUACCAUCAGAUGUUCCCAGAUGGGAUUAGCUAGUAGGUGGGGUAACGGCUCACCGAGGCGACGAUCCCUAGCUGGUCUGAGAGGCGGACCGGCCACACUGGAACUGAGACACGUUCCAGCCUCCUACGUGAGGCAGCAGUGGGGAAUGUUGCACAAUGGGCGCAAGCCUGAUGCAGCCAUGCCGCGUGUGUGAAGAAGGCCUUCGGGUUGUAAAGCACUUUCAGCGGGGAGGCGUUACCAACAGAAUAAGCACCGGCUAACUUCGUGCCAGCAGCCGCGGUAAUUC